rnacentral:rRNA from 1 species
GUGGUGACGGUAGGUAGAUAAGAAGCACCGGCUAACUACGUGCCAGCAGCCGCGGUAAUACGUAGGGUGCAAGCGUUGUCCGGAAUUACUGGGCGUAAAGAGCUCGUAGGUGGUUUGUCGCGUCGUCUGUGAAAUCCCGGGGCUUAACUUCGGGCGUGCAGGCGAUACGGGCAUAACUUGAGUGCUGUAGGGGAGACUGGAAUUCCUGGUGUAGCGGUGAAAUGCGCAGAUAUCAGGAGGAACACCGAUGGCGAAGGCAGGUCUCUGGGCAGUAACUGACGCUGAGGAGCGAAAGCAUGGGUAGCGAACAGGAUUAGAUACCCUGGUAGUCCAUGCCGUAAACGGUGGGCGCUAGGUGUAGGGGGCUUCCACGUCUUCUGUGCCGUAGCUAACGCAUUAAGCGCCCCGCCUGGGGAGUACGGCCGCAAGGCUAAAACUCAAAGGAAUUGACGGGGGCCCGCACAAGCGGCGGAGCAUGUGGAUUAAUUCGAUGCAACGCGAAGAACCUUACCUGGGCUUGACAUAUACAGGAUUGGGCUAGAGAUAGUUCGUCCCUUGUGGUCUGUAUACAGGUGGUGCAUGGUUGUCGUCAGCUCGUGUCGUGAGAUGUUGGGUUAAGUCCCGCAACGAGCGCAACCCUUGUCUUAUGUUGCCAGCACGUGAUGGUGGGGACUCAUGAGAAACUGCCGGGGUUAACUCGGAGGAAGGUGGGGAUGACGUCAAAUCAUCAUGCCCCUUAUGUCCAGGGCUUCACACAUGCUACAAUGGUCGAUACAAUGGGCAGCGACAUCGUGAGGUGGAGCGAAUCCCUGAAAGUCGGCCUUAGUUCGGAUUGGGGUCUGCAACUCGACCCCAUGAAGUCGGAGU